rnacentral:rRNA from 1 species
AACUUAAGCAUAUCAAUAAGCGGAGGAAAAGAAACCAACAGGGAUUGCCUUAGUAGCGGCGAGUGAAGCGGCAAAAGCUCAAAUUUGAAAUCUGGCACUUUCAGUGUCCGAGUUGUAAUUUGAAGAAGGUAUCUUUGGGUCUGGCUCUUGUCUAUGUUUCUUGGAACAGAACGUCACAGAGGGUGAGAAUCCCGUGCGAUGAGAUGUCCCAGACCUAUGUAAAGUUCCUUCGAAGAGUCGAGUUGUUUGGGAAUGCAGCUCUAAGUGGGUGGUAAAUUCCAUCUAAAGCUAAAUAUUGGCGAGAGACCGAUAGCGAACAAGUACAGUGAUGGAAAGAUGAAAAGAACUUUGAAAAGAGAGUGAAAAAGUACGUGAAAUUGUUGAAAGGGAAGGGCUUGAGAUCAGACUUGGUAUUUUGUAUGUUACUCUCUCGGGGGUGGCCUCUACAGUUUACCGGGCCAGCAUCAGUUUGAGCGGUAGGAUAAGUGCAAAGAAAUGUGGCACUGCUUCGGUAGUGUGUUAUAGUCUUUGUCGAUACUGCCAGCUUAGACUGAGGACUGCGGCUUCGGCCUAGGAUGUUGGCAUAAUGAUCUUAAGUCGCCCGUCUUGAAAA